AGCACUUGUAUGGGUUUUUGUUGGACUAGUGGACAAAAGCUUAAAAAACAAGUGCAAAAGCAAAUCCUCUUUUGCAACCCAGAACUCAUUGUUGUAUGGGUUUUGUUACAUGUAAGAAGGAAUACC